GUGAGGAGAAUUAACCCCUUCUCAGCCAAAACCAGCACAAAUAGCUAUUGUGCUAAGGGGAUCUUUCAUCUGCGUCUUUCCUCCGACCCAGUACAGCUGUCUUGGGUUCACAUAUCUUCAGAAUGCAUGAGAGAAAAAUGUCUUUUACAGCCUUCAGGCUAUAUCUGAGACCCAUGUGCGGGAGGGAGACAGAAGGACCUGGGAACAUUCUGUGCUUCCAAGAAUUUAAUAUUGGAUAUCCUAGUGCCAGUAUAGACAUCCCCAAUGGUGACAUCCCCAUGUUCCCAAAGCUCACCUGGCAGACUUCCUUCAUGGGUUUUUGGGAUGCUUUAGGCAGAGCCACACAUUUCAUCCUACACAAGCACCAGAGGAAAAUCGAGUUAAAAGUGUUGCUUACUGUUAAGAGUAAGAAGCUGAGAUGAACAUAUUACUAUGGAUCUCAUAAAGAUUAUAGGCCUUGAGAAGCUCUGCAUCCUCAGCGUGUCCCAGAAGGCAUUCGGUAGCAUCAUAUACACAAAUUAGACAUGGUGUUUGACUGACGAAUAUAUGGAUGAUCAGCCAUGGCAAAUGCAGCAUUGCUAAAAUAAGUAUCCUGAAUCCUUCCACAAGUGAAGUUAACACGGACUGGUAACAAAGCAUGGAAGUUAUGUUGGUAUGAGCAAAAUGUAGACUAAACCUGCACUGCA